GACAAGUCAUCUUAGGUAGAGAGAACUGUAUUAACCAAGCCACUGGGACGUGAAAGAGCACAGAAUGGUCAGAGAUGGGUGAGGCUGGAGAUGAACAGGCUGCAAAAAAAUCCCCGGUUGACCUUGGGUAACUGAAACCUUGGAAAGCAAAACCACAGAUAAGGGAUGACUACUGUACUGCAUUUGGCAAUGAGGAAAGUCAGACUAAGACAGGAAGAUCUUGGGAUGUCUAAGCAAAGCAGUAGAACUUGAACACCAAGAGCAAAGCGGAUGUGCCUGUCUUAACAAACAGGAAGGCUGGUCAAUCAGAAUGGACUGGCCUGAGGAAAUUUUUGGUUGUGCCAAUUUACAUGGAUCACUGUCUGAAGGCAACCCCAUUACUGCUGAGCCUUUGAGCAGCUUCUAGCCAUGCAAUCCCAGAAGAAUCACCGUACGAUGUCGAACCCCACCACGUGAGACAGUGAAGAAAACUCUUUCCACUCAAGUUGAAAGCCGACAGAAGUGCCCUCCUGUUUGCACCAGUGCCCCACUGGAUUGUACAUCCUUCUCUGCUUGCAGCUGGGCCUUAACUAUUUUCAUGAGCAAAGCACAGAAAGACUCCUUGAUGUCCAGCUAGUUCAAAGAACAAAUGUAAGACCCGGAGUGAUUUUGCCUGAUUCUGCCCGAUUCUGCCCUGUUACUAGUUGGGAGCUUUUAUGAAUUGAAUUGUGUGUCCCCAGAAGAUAUGCUGAAAUCCUAAUCCAUGUUACUGCAGAAUGUGAAUUUAUUUAAGAAUGGGGCCUUUGCACAUGUAAUUAGCUGUUAGAAUGAGGAUAUACUGGAGUAGUGUUGGCUACUAGUAGAGUUGGCUACUAGCGUUGACAACUGCCAGAGUUGGUUGGAGUUGUGUUUAAUCCAAUGUGAUGGCAUCUUUAUAAGAAGAAGGAAAUUUGGACAUGGACAAAGACAGAACUCCAAAAGAAGAAGUAGGCACAGAUUGGAGUGAUGCCACCACAAGCCAAGGAACACCUAGAACCACCAGAAGCUAGGAAGAGACAAGGAAGGGGCCUCUCCUAGAGGCUUCAGAGAGAGCAUGGCCAGCACCUUCACUUUGGAAUUCUAGUCUUCAGAACAGUAGGAAAAUAAAGCUUUGUUGUUUUAAGUCACUUAGUUUGUGAUCCUAUGUUACUUAAGCUGUAGGAAAUGAAUAGAGGGAUGUUUUCGAUGAAUUUAAAUAAAAAAUAGAAACCUCCAUUGUUCAAGAACUCUAGGAAUCCAAGUAUGGCCUCUGCUUUUUUUUACACUGUUCCAGAUAUUCCUCCUGGAAAAGAGGGACAACAGGCAGGUAAAAUGACUAGACACCUCUCUCCCAGCACAGCUGCUGUCUUCACCAGCGAACUUGGAAGCAGGGAACUGGUGAGGCUGCUGGGGGCAAGGAGCUCCUCCUUCCUGGAGCUAGAUGUGUGUCCGCACCUUAUUCCAGCAUAUCACCCCAAGAAAAGAUCUCCUUCCUGCAACAGUGAGGCAUUUCCCUGUCUGUGAAAGGAAAAAAGGAGUCAAACAUUUCGUAUAUUUAACAAUAUCUGUGUUUCUAGACAUUAAUUACAUACGAUAGAAGGCAAUCCCUUUGCUGUGAAGCAUUAAUUACUCAAGCGUAGUGGCCUGUGAUUCAAGAUGAAUUGCACAUCAGAUAAUUAAUACAUUUAUCACAUUAAAUUGCAUAGUGUCACCCUUAAAUGAGUGAAAGUUCACAAGAAAGAGAUCAGAUACACAAGUCUCUUAAUAAAAUAAUUUAUAUUGCAAAAGCAAAGAUUCACCAAUAAGCUGAUGUUUCUGAAGUGGACAUUCACAAUUACAAGACUUCAAGAGACAACAUUUAUUUUCUUGUCCUAAAUGGUCCUAUAGUCUCUUCGCACAACAUGGAGUAAGUCUGUGUCUCUGGGCAGAUCUGGUCACACAAAGUAGAAGCCAUUUCAUCUCUGAAUUAUGGAAUUCUCUUUUAUAAUUUUUUUUUAUACAG
ensembl:lncRNA